rnacentral:rRNA from 1 species
AUGACAAUCUCCUCCGCCCUCUCCUUCCUCUCCGAUCGCAAGCGCCCCAUCGUGAUUUCCGUCGCCCUCUUCAUCCUCCUCUCCUCCCUCUUCCUCCUCCUCAGCCCCGCCCCUUCCGCCCUCCCCUUCUUCUUCUCCCCCACCUCCCGCUUCUCCUCCUCCUCCUCCUUCUCCCGGGGCGCCGCUCCAGCGCCUCCCCAGACCCCAUUGCCCGCCUCCGCUUCAGCGCCGCCCCAAACCCCAGUUCCCGUCUCCGCUUCAACGCCGCCCCAAACUCCAAUUCCGGUCUCCGCUUCAGCGCCGCCCCAAACCCCAAACCCGGUCUCCGCCGACGCAUCUCCACACGGAACAGUAUCUGGCGGGAGCAGCAGCAGCGCCGCCGAUCUACCCCGACUAGAGACUGACGCCACUGCAGACGACGCCGACACCAACGCAACCCAGCUGGGUCACGGCACGCUGCCCGCUGCCGCUGCACAAGUGACCACAUCGGUCGACACAAAGGAGAUCGCCACCGGCGUCUCGGGCGGGAGAGGUGCAGAGUGGGGAGGAGUCGGCGGUGGCGGGGAGGAGAAGCCGGUGGAGGCACCGUCGUGGGGAUUGUGCGUGGUGGGGAAGCGGGUCGAGCCCGCGGACUACAUACCGUGCCUGGACAACGUGAAGGCCGUCAAGGCGCUCAAGUCGAUACGGCACAUGGAGCACCGGGAGCGGCACUGCCCCACGGAGCCGCGGCCGAGGUGCCUGGUGCCGCUGCCCGCGGGGUACCGGCUUCCCCUGCCCUGGCCGCGCAGCCGUGACAUGAUUUGGUAUAACAAUGUUCCUCACCCAAAGCUAGUGGAAUACAAGAAGGACCAGAACUGGGUUAGGAAGUCUGGUAAUUAUUUUGUCUUCCCUGGAGGUGGAACUCAAUUUAAAGCAGGUGUGACCAGAUACAUCCGAUUCAUUGAACAGAUCAUGCCACAAAUAAAAUGGGGAACUCAUGCAAGAACUGUGCUGGAUGUUGGAUGUGGUGUUGCCAGCUUUGGUGGAUACUUGCUUGACAGGAAUGUCAUUACUAUGUCUAUUGCCCCAAAAGACGAGCAUGAAGCUCAGAUACAAUUUGCUCUAGAGCGGGGAAUUCCGGCAUUUUUGGCAGUGAUUGGAACACAAAAACUUCCCUUCCCUGACAAUUCAUUUGAUGUGAUCCAUUGUGCACGGUGUAGGGUCCACUGGUAUGCUGAUGGUGGAAAACCAUUGUUGGAGCUCAAUAGAGUACUCAGGCCUGGAGGAUAUUACAUCUGGUCUGCGACGCCAGUCUAUCGACGUGGCAAGAGAGAUGAAGAUGACUGGAAUGCAAUGGUUACUCUGACCAAAUCAAUCUGCUGGAGGACCGUUGUAAAAUCAAAGGAUGUUAAUAGGAUUGGAGUUGUUAUUUACCAAAAGCCAACCUCAAAUUCUUGCUACACUGAGAGGAAAAAUAAUGAACCACCUCUAUGCUCUGGGAGCAAUGGCCACUCUCCAUGGUAUACUUCUCUCGACAGUUGCCUCUUGUUGCCUGCUCUGUCAAAGUCAGGUGCAGGAAAUAGUUGGCCCAUAUCCUCGCCUGAAAGGCUUAACAUCAGAUCUUCAACUUCAUCUGAGAAUUCUUCUACUUGGUUUUCUCAAGAAAAUUUUGAUUCUGAUACAAAAAACUGGAAUGGCCUUAUUUCAGAAGUAUAUUCCAGUGAAUUUGCAGUUAAUUGGUCUAGUGUUCGGAAUGUUAUGGACAUGAAUGCUGGCUUUGGAGGAUUUGCAGCAUCACUCAUUGAUCGACCUUUAUGGGUGAUGAACGUUGUACCCUUUGAUCAGCCGGACACUUUGCCGAUCAUUUUCAACAGAGGUUUGAUUGGUGUAUAUCAUGACUGGUGUGAAUCUUUUAAUACAUACCCACGGACCUAUGAUCUUCUUCACAUGAGCUAUCUCCUUCAGAGCCUCACAAAUAGGUGUGAUAUCAUUGAAAUAGCAGCGGAAAUUGACAGGAUACUUAGACCUGGUAGAUGGUUUGUAUUGCAAGACAAUAUAGGAAUGAUUAGAAAAAUGGACCGUGUUCUUCGCUCUCUGCAUUACAAGACCGCUAUUAUGAGGCGGCAAUUUCUUGUUGCCAGGAAGAGUUUCUGGCGCCCUGACAGUACAGGUUCUUAG